rnacentral:rRNA from 1 species
AUGAACGCUGGCGGCGUGCCUAAUACAUGCAAGUCGAGCGAACAGACGAGGAGCUUGCUCCUCUGACGUUAGCGGCGGACGGGUGAGUAACACGUGGAUAACCUACCUAUAAGACUGGGAUAACUUCGGGAAACCGGAGCUAAUACCGGAUAAUAUAUUGAACCGCAUGGUUCAAUAGUGAAAGACGGUUUUGCUGUCACUUAUAGAUGGAUCCGCGCCGCAUUAGCUAGUUGGUAAGGUAACGGCUUACCAAGGCAACGAUGCGUAGCCGACCUGAGAGGGUGAUCGGCCACACUGGAACUGAGACACGGUCCAGACUCCUACGGGAGGCAGCAGUAGGGAAUCUUCCGCAAUGGGCGAAAGCUUGACGGAGCAACGCCGCGUGAGUGAUGAAGGUCUUCGGAUCGUAAAACUCUGUUAUUAGGGAACAACAAAUGUGUAAGUAACUAUGCACGUCUUGACGGUACCUAAUCAGAAAGCCACGGCUAACUACGUG